GACGCUGGCGGCGUGCCUAAUACAUGCAAGUAGAACGCUGAAGAGAGGAGCUUGCUCUUCUUGGAUGAGUUGCGAACGGGUGAGUAACGCGUAGGUAACCUGCCUUGUAGCGGGGGAUAACUAUUGGAAACGAUAGCUAAUACCGCAUAACAAUGGAUGACACAUGUCAUUUAUUUGAAAGGGGCAAUUGCUCCACUACAAGAUGGACCUGCGUUGUAUUAGCUAGUAGGUGAGGUAAUGGCUCACCUAGGCGACGAUACAUAGCCGACCUGAGAGGGUGAUCGGCCACACUGGGACUGAGACACGGCCCAGACUCCUACGGGAGGCAGCAGUAGGGAAUCUUCGGCAAUGGGGGCAACCCUGACCGAGCAACGCCGCGUGAGUGAAGAAGGUUUUCGGAUCGUAAAGCUCUGUUGUAAGUCAAGAACGGGUGUGAGAGUGGAAAGUUCACACUGUGACGGUAGCUUACCAGAAAGGGACGGCUAACUACGUGCCAGCAGCCGCGGUAAUACGUAGGUCCCGAGCGUUGUCCGGAUUUAUUGGGCGUAAAGCGAGCGCAGGCGGUUUGAUAAGUCUGAAGUUAAAGGCUGUGGCUCAACCAUAGUUCGCUUUGGAAACUGUCAAACUUGAGUGCAGAAGGGGAGAGUGGAAUUCCAUGUGUAGCGGUGAAAUGCGUAGAUAUAUGGAGGAACACCGGUGGCGAAAGCGGCUCUCUGGUCUGUAACUGACGCUGAGGCUCGAAAGCGUGGGGAGCGAACAGGAUUAGAUACCCUGGUAGUCCACGCCGUAAACGAUGAGUGCUAGGUGUUGGAUCCUUUCCGGGAUUCAGUGCCGCAGCUAACGCAUUAAGCACUCCGCCUGGGGAGUACGACCGCAAGGUUGAAACUCAAAGGAAUUGACGGGGGCCCGCACAAGCGGUGGAGCAUGUGGUUUAAUUCGAAGCAACGCGAAGAACCUUACCAGGUCUUGACAUCCCGAUGCUAUUUCUAGAGAUAGAAAGUUACUUCGGUACAUCGGUGACAGGUGGUGCAUGGUUGUCGUCAGCUCGUGUCGUGAGAUGUUGGGUUAAGUCCCGCAACGAGCGCAACCCCUAUUGUUAGUUGCCAUCAUUCAGUUGGGCACUCUAGCGAGACUGCCGGUAAUAAACCGGAGGAAGGUGGGGAUGACGUCAAAUCAUCAUGCCCCUUAUGACCUGGGCUACACACGUGCUACAAUGGUUGGUACAACGAGUUGCGAGUCGGUGACGGCGAGCUAAUCUCUUAAAGCCAAUCUCAGUUCGGAUUGUAGGCUGCAACUCGCCUACAUGAAGUCGGAAUCGCUAGUAAUCGCGGAUCAGCAC
rnacentral:rRNA from 1 species